GACGAACGCUGGCGGCGUGCUUAACACAUGCAAGUCGAACGGAAAGGCCCUGCUUUUGUGGGGUGCUCGAGUGGCGAACGGGUGAGUAACACGUGAGUAACCUGCCCUUGACUUUGGGAUAACUUCAGGAAACUGGGGCUAAUACAGGAUAGGAGCUCCUGCUGCAUGGUGGGGGUUGGAAAGUUUCGGCGGUUGGGGAUGGACUCGCGGCUUAUCAGCUUGUUGGUGGGGUAGUGGCUUACCAAGGCUUUGACGGGUAGCCGGCCUGGGAGGGUGACCGGCCACAUUGGGACUGAGAUACGGCCCAGACUCCUACGGGAGGCAGCAGUGGGGAAUAUUGCACAAUGGGCGGAAGCCUGAUGCAGCAACGCCGCGUGCGGGAUGACGGCCUUCGGGUUGUAAACCGCUUUCGCCUGUGACGAAGCGGGAGUGACGGUAAUGGGUAAAGAAGCACCGGCUAACUACGUG
rnacentral:rRNA from 1 species